CGGGUCUUGCUUGCAGGCCCACUAUUCUUCCCUGAGCCUGCACGCGGGCUAUGGUUUUACAAUAUUUUCAACCACUCUCACUAACUAAAUUUAUAAAAAUUGAAUGAAUUUAAAUUGUUCAUUUGAAAGAAGUCCCUCCCCCAAUAUAUACACACACCAUGACCAAAGCAUACUUAGAUCAAAGAAACUUCGAAAAUGUAAACCUUUUUUGAAGAAUAUAUAGAAUAUUUUAUAAAAAAAUUAAUAGCACGUCCUUGUGGUAAAUAUGCGGUGCAUUAAUUCUGGCUCAAUGGCAAAAGUCUACAUUAUUACAUAAAGUUUUCAUUGUCACGUUUCAAAUUGCCAUAUACAUGUAAAUUAUUUACAAUCACGGGUAACUGAUACCAGUCAAGAAAUCUUCAAUCCAGG